UCGAUGAAGGUGCAGUGAAAGAACUGCUUUCAAGGCUGAAAAAUCAUGGAAGGAACGUUGUUGAAUCAAAGGCAAAAGAAGAAGCUGCAACUAUCUCGAUGCGCAUGAAAGACAGGUUCACGAAAUUAUUCAAUACCUAUCUUUCAAGAGAACAGAAACGAAAAAUAGAUGUACAAGCAAUUGUCCAAUCUGCCCUCGAUGAAUGCAUGUUGAUGCUUUGGGUAAUAUCAGCAAUUCGGUUAGAUGGAGACGGUGAUACCAUUGAAA